AACGUAGGAGGCAAGCGUUAUCCGGAUUUACUGGGCGUAAAGCGUGCGCAGGCGGUUUUGUAAGUCUGUCGUGAAAGCCCCGGGCUCAACCUGGGAAUUGCGAUGGAGACUGCAAGGCUUGAAUCUGGCAGAGGGGGGUAGAAUUCCACGUGUAGCAGUGAAAUGCGUAGAGAUGUGGAGGAACACCGAUGGCGAAGGCAGCCCCCUGGGUCAAGAUUGACGCUCAUGCACGAAAGCGUGGGGAGCAAACAGG
rnacentral:rRNA from 1 species